rnacentral:misc_RNA from 1 species
UGCGGAAGGAUCAUUAAAGAGUAAGGGUGCUCAGCGCCCGACCUCCAACCCUUUGUUGUUAAAACUACCUUGUUGCUUUGGCGGGACCGCUCGGUCUCGAGCCGCUGGGGAUUCGUCCCAGGCGAGCGCCCGCCAGAGUUAAACCAAACUCUUGUUAUUUAACCGGUCGUCUGAGUAAAAAUUUUGAAUAAAUCAAAACUUUCAACAACGGAUCUCUUGGUUCUCGCAUCGAUGAAGAACGCAGCGAAAUGCGAUAAGUAAUGUGAAUUGCAGAAUUCAGUGAAUCAUCGAAUCUUUGAACGCACAUUGCGCCCCUUGGUAUUCCGAGGGGCAUGCCUGUUCGAGCGUCAUUACACCACUCAAGCUAUGCUUGGUAUUGGGCGUCGUCCUUAGUUGGGCGCGCCUUAAAGACCUCGGCGAGGCCACUCCGGCUUUAGGCGUAGUAGAAUUUAUUCGAACGUCUGUCAAAGGAGAGGAACUCUGCCGACUGAAACCUUUAUUUUUCUAGGUUGACCUCGGAUCAGGUAGGGAUACCCGCUGAACUUAA